AAGUCGUAACAAGGUUUCUCCCAGAACAACACCUGCAGAAGCCUUGAAUAACAAGUCUACCAACGUGGGCAACAUCUUUACUGUGCUUGGAUACCGUCAGGGUAACAUGCAGCUGCAUAUAGCAGUCCACAGAUCAAACAAAGGUGGUCCGAGGAGGGUAACCUGCCUUGGAUUCAGAUAUGACCGGCCUACCUCUGAAAGGGUUGUAGACUAUAGUGUUCCGUAGGUGAACCUGCGGAAGGAUCAUUACAGAGAAAUUGCCCUUCGGGGUAGAUCUCCUACCCUUUGUUUAUAUUACCU
rnacentral:misc_RNA from 1 species